rnacentral:rRNA from 1 species
AUUGAACGCUGGCGGCAUGCCUUACACAUGCAAGUCGAACGGUAACAGGUUAAGCUGACGAGUGGCGAACGGGUGAGUAAUGUAUCGGAACGUGCCCAGUCGUGGGGGAUAACUACUCGAAAGAGUGGCUAAUACCGCAUACGACCUGAGGGUGAAAGCGGGGGACCGUAAGGCCUCGCGCGACUGGAGCGGCCGAUAUCAGAUUAGCUAGUUGGUGGGGUAAAAGCCCACCAAGGCGACGAUCUGUAGCUGGUCUGAGAGGACGACCAGCCACACUGGGACUGAGACACGGCCCAGACUCCUACGGGAGGCAGCAGUGGGGAAUUUUGGACAAUGGACGCAAGUCUGAUCCAGCCAUGCCGCGUGCGGGAAGAAGGCCUUCGGGUUGUAAACCGCUUUUGUCAGGGAAGAAACGAGUUUCUCUAAUACAGAGACUUAAUGACGGUACCUGAAGAAUAAGCACCGGCUAACUACGUGCCAGCCGCCGCUGUAAAAC